rnacentral:rRNA from 1 species
CGGACGGGUGAGUAACGCGUGGGUAACCUGCCGUAUGCAGGGGGAUAACACUUAGAAAUAGGUGCUAACACCGCAUAAGCGCACGAGAGCGCAUGCUUUUGUGUGAAAAACUCCGGUGGCAUACGAUGGACCCGCGUCUGAUUAGCCAGUUGGCAGGGUAACGGCCUACCAAAGCGACGAUCAGUAGCCGGCCUGAGAGGGCGGACGGCCACACUGGGACUGAGACACGGCCCAAACUCCUACGGAAGGCAGCAG